UGGGGAAUAUUGCACAAUGGGCGGAAGCCUGAUGCAGCGACGCCGCGUGGAGGAAGAAGGUCUUCGGGUUGUAAACUCCUUUUAUAGGGGAAAAUAGUGAUGGUACUCUAUGAAUAAGCCACGGCUAACUCUGUGCCAGCAGCCGCGGUAAGACAGAGGUGGCGAGCGUUGUUCGGAAUUACUGGGCUUAAAGGGCGCGUAGGUGGUGAUACAAGUCUGAGGUGGAAUACUGCAGCUCAACUAUAGUACUGCCUUGGAAACUGUAUUACUUGAGUCGGCGAGGGGGAGGCGGAAUUCCUGGUGUAGCGGUGAAAUGCGUAGAUAUCAGGAGGAAGGCCUGUGGCGAAGGCGGCCUUCUGGUGCUUGACUGACACUGAGGCGCGAAAGCGUGGGGAGCAAA
rnacentral:rRNA from 1 species